rnacentral:rRNA from 1 species
UUACACAAAUAUGAAGGCGGGCUGGAACCUCUCGGGGUUACAGCCUUGCUGAAUUAUUCACCCUUGUCUUUUGCGUACUUCUUGUUUCCUUGGUGGGUUCGCCCACCACUAGGACAAACAUAAACCUUUUGUAAUUGCAAUCAGCGUCAGUAACAAAUUAAUAAUUACAACUUUCAACAACGGAUCUCUUGGUUCUGGCAUCGAUGAAGAACGCAGCGAAAUGCGAUAAGUAGUGUGAAUUGCAGAAUUCAGUGAAUCAUCGAAUCUUUGAACGCACAUUGCGCCCUUUGGUAUUCCAAAGGGCAUGCCUGUUCGAGCGUCAUUUGUACCCUCAAGCUUUGCUUGGUGUUGGGCGUCUUGUCUCUAGCUUUGCUGGAGACUCGCCUUAAAGUAAUUGGCAGCCGGCCUACUGGUUUCGGAGCGCAGCACAAGUCGCACUCUCUAUCAGCAAAGGUCUAGCAUCCAUUAAGCCUUUUUUCAACUUUUGACCUCGGAUCAGGUAGGGAUACCCGCUGAACUUAAGCAUAUCAAUAAG